GACGAACGCUGGCGGCGUGCCUAACACAUGCAAGUCGAGCGAUGAAGCCCUUCGGGGUGGAUUAGCGGCGGACGGGUGAGUAACACGUGGGUAACCUGCCUUGUAGAGGGGGAUAGCCUUCCGAAAGGAAGAUUAAUACCGCAUAAUAUCUUUUUAUCGCAUGGUAGAAAGAUCAAAGGAGUAAUCCGCUACAAGAUGGACCCGCGGCGCAUUAGCUAGUUGGUGAGGUAACGGCUCACCAAGGCGACGAUGCGUAGCCGACCUGAGAGGGUGAUCGGCCACAUUGGAACUGAGACACGGUCCAGACUCCUACGGGAGGCAG
rnacentral:rRNA from 1 species